rnacentral:rRNA from 1 species
AGAGUUUGAUCAUGGCUCAGGACGAACGCUGGCGGCGUGCUUAAUACAUGCAAGUCGAACGGUGAACCGGGCUUCGGCCCGGGGAUCAGUGGCGAACGGGUGCGUAACACGUGGGCAACCUGCCCCAGACACUGGGAUAACCCCGGGAAGCCGGGGCUAAUACCGGAUACUCCGAUCGGACGACAUCGCCCGACCGGGAAAGCUCCGACGGUCUGGGAUGGGCCCGCGGCCUAUCAGCUUGUUGGUGGGGUAACGGCCUACCAAGGCGACGACGGGUAGCUGGUCUGAGAGGACGACCAGCCACACUGGAACUGAGAUACGGUCCAGACUCCUACGGGAGGCAGCAGUAGGGAAUCUUGCACAAUGGGCGCAAGCCUGAUGCAGCGACGCCGCGUGGGGGACGAAGGCCUUAGGGUUGUAAACCCCUUUCGGCAGGGAAGAAGCGCAAGUGACGGUACCUGCAGAAGAUC